CAGUCGCCACGGGAACACGGAGGAUCCGAGCGUUAUCCGGAAUUAUUGGGCGUAAAGCGUGCGUAGGCGGUUCGUUAAGUCUGUUGUGAAAGCCCCGGGCUCAACCUGGGAAUGGCAAUGGAUACUGGCGAGCUAGAGUGUGUCAGAGGAUGGUGGAAUUCCCGGUGUAGCGGUGAAAUGCGUAGAGAUCUGGAGAAAUACCGGUGGCGAAGGCGGCCCCCUGGACAAAGACUGACGCUCAGGUGCGAAAGCGUGGGGAGCAAACAGGAUUAGAUACCCGCGUAGUCCCUGUCUCUUAUAA
rnacentral:rRNA from 1 species